UGGGCCAGCGUUAGAUGCAAGGACAUUAGAUCUAUAAUGAUUAGGAGGUGGGGAUGGUGGAGGCAUAUGAGCAACUAGAGUGAGGGAAGAACGGCGGGGCACAUGCACACCACUUGGAUUAGGAAGAGCUGCACAUCUAGAAGGGAGAAAAAAGGCAGGCAACGAUGGCUUAGGCCACAGCAGCAGCGACCUCUGGCUCAGGCUUGAACCUUGGUUUAUCCAGGUUUGAUAUCCAUUGAUUAUGCCUGGUGUUGAUAUGUGAUGUUGGAUGAAUUAUUCAAUUUUCAUUACUGAUCGCGAGAAUAUUGUACGACACAUGUUAGGUUGGAAUAAUUUGUGCCUUCCAUUUCUGCAUGAAAUAGGAAAGUUGCCCAGGCAAAGGAAGCGUGCAUGUCAUUCUUUUGAUCGAGGGCUUGGCAAAGGAAGCAUAACAAUCCCCGAGGGCUAUCAAUGAAUGCUUAAAUCAUGCAGGCCUUUCUUUGGAUUGAGGGGAAUUGAGGAACUAAUACAGGCCAUGAGAGAGGCACCUUACUUUGAUUUAUUUUUUGCAACAAUUACAUGUACUAAUCUUUUUUGAGAACUACAUGUACUAAUCUUGAGGUCAUGUUGCAAUCCUAGCAAUAUUAAGCUGUCUUUUGAUGGCCAACCUCUACUACAUUUUGAUUUGCAAAUGUUGUUCAUGCAGUAACUAUAUGUGAUA